CCGCGUGAGCGAUGAAGGCCUUCGGGUCGUAAAGCUCUGUUGUUAGAGAAGAACAAGUACGAGAGUAACUGCUCGUACCUUGACGGUACCUAACCAGAAAGCCACGGCUAACUACGUGCCAGCAGCCGCGGUAAUACGUAGGUGGCAAGCGUUAUCCGGAAUUAUUGGGCGUAAAGCGCGCGCAGGCGGUCUCUUAAGUCUGAUGUGAAAGCCCACGGCUCAACCGUGGAGGGUCAUUGGAAACUGGGAGACUUGAGUGCAGGAGAGAAAAGUGGAAUUCCACGUGUAGCGGUGAAAUGCGUAGAGAUGUGGAGGAACACCAGUGGCGAAGGCGGCUUUUUGGCCUGUAACUGACGCUGAGGCGCGAAAGCGUGGGGAGCAAACAGGAUUAGAUACCCUGGUAGUCCACGCCGUAAACGAUGAGUGCUAGGUGUUGGGGGGUUCCACCCUCAGUGCUGAAGUUAACACAUUAAGCACUCCGCCUGGGGAGUACGACCGCAAGGUUGAAACUCAAAGGAAUUGACGGGGGCCCGCACAAGCAGUGGAGCAUGUGGUUUAAUUCGAAGCAACGCGAAGAACCUUACCAGGUCUUGACAUCCUUUGACCACUCUAGAGAUAGAGCUUUCCCCUUCGGGGGACAAGUGACAGGUGGUGCAUGGUUGUCNUCANCUCGUGU
rnacentral:rRNA from 1 species